rnacentral:rRNA from 1 species
CGUACACUCCUGCGGGAGGCAGCAGUAGGGAAUCUUCGGCAAUGGGGGCAACCCUGACCGAGCAACGCCGCGUGAGUGAAGAAGGUUUUCGGAUCGUAAAGCUCUGUUGUAAGUCAAGAACGAGUGUGAGAGUGGAAAGUUCACACUGUGACGGUAGCUUACCAGAAAGGGACGGCUAACUACGUGCCAGCAGCCGCGGUAAUACGUAGGUCCCGAGCGUUGUCCGGAUUUAUUGGGCGUAAAGCGAGCGCAGGCGGUUUGAUAAGUCUGAAGUUAAAGGCUGUGGCUCAACCAUAGUUCGCUUUGGAAACUGUCAAACUUGAGUGCAGAAGGGGAGAGUGGAAUUCCAUGUGUAGCGGUGAAAUGCGUAGAUAUAUGGAGGAACACCGGUGGCGAAAGCGGCUCUCUGGUCUGUAACUGACGCUGAGGCUCGAAAGCGUGGGGAGCGAACAGGAUUAGAAACCCUAGUAGUCCCA